GAUCAGGAGCAGGUGCGUUGAACCGUCCGAUCAAUGGUCGGUCCGGAUGUUGCCACAUAUCAUCAUCUGAUGAGACUCCGAUUUGAUCGCUUCCAUCCUGACCGUUGAGGGAUCCUAUAUGUAUAGGGCCACUUUCGGUCAAACUUUUACUUUGCAUUUGUCUUCAUUCUCUGCUGUAGAAACUCUACUAGAAAGUCGCCCCAGCACUAGAAGAUCAGGGUUCCUUCUC
rnacentral:lncRNA from 1 species